UACAUAGGGUGCAAGCGUUGUCCGGAAUUAUUGGGCGUAAAGAGCUCGUAGGCGGUCUGUCGCGUCGAAUGUGAAAACCCGGGGCUCAACCCCGGGCCUGCAUUCGAUACGGGCAGACUAGAGUUCGGUAGGGGAGUCUGGAAUUCCUGGUGUAGCGGUGAAAUGCGCAGAUAUCAGGAGGAACACCGGUGGCGAAGGCGGGACUCUGGGCCGAUACUGACGCUGAGGAGCGAAAGCGUGGGGAGCAAACAGG
rnacentral:rRNA from 1 species